rnacentral:rRNA from 1 species
GUCACUGCUAUUGGGAUUCGACUAAGCCAUGCGAGUCGCGAGGGUUCGGCCCUCGGCUGACGGCUCAGUAACACGCGGAUAAUCUGCCCUUAGGUGGAGGAUAAUCUCGGGAAACUGAGAAUAAUAUUCCAUAGAUUUAGGAUGCUGGAAUGCACUUAAAUUAAAAGCUUCGGCGCCUAAGGAUGAGUCUGCGGACUAUCAGGUUGUAGUCAGGGUAACGACCUGACUAGCCUACGACGGAUACGGGUUGUGAGAGCAAUAACCCGGAGAUGAUAUCUGAGACACGAUAUCAGGCCCUACGGGGCGCAGCAGGCGCGAAAACUUCGCAAUGUGCGAAAGCACGACGAGGGAAUCCCAAGUGCUGGCUCGUUAGAGUCAGCUGUUUUUAUGUCUAAAAAGCAUAGAGAGUAAGGGCUGGGUAAGACGGGUGCCAGCCGCCGCGGUAAUACCUGCAGCUCAAGUGGUGGCCACUAUUAUUGGGCCUAAAACGUCCGUAGCCUGUUUAUUAAAUGCCUAGGUAAAUUGUGUGGCUUAACCAUACGAAUUCUGGGUAGACUGGUAAACUUGAGACCGGGAGAAGCUAGAGGUACUUCUGGGGUAGAGGUGAAAUUCUGUAAUCCUAGGGGGACCACCAGUGGCGAAAGCGUCUAGCUAGAACGGGUUUGACGGUGAGGGACGAAGCCCUGGGGCGCAAACGGGAUUAGAUACCCCGGUAGUCCAGGGUGUAAACGCUGCUUGCUUGAUGUUGGUUGGGCUCCGAGCCCAAUCAGUGUCGGAGAGAAGUUGUUAAGCAAGCUGCCUGGGAAUUACGGUCGCAAGACUGAAACUUAAAGGAAUUGGCGGGGGAGC